ensembl:lncRNA
CGACGGGAGGGGCGAUGGGCGCGGCUGAGCGCCGCCUCGGUGGGGCGCGGGGCUGAGGCGAGCGAGGUGGUGGACGGUUCUCUCGGCCCGGCGGCUCUCACUGGAAGACUUAAGGUCUGAUGUGAUGUGCGGGAGAGCCGUCCUUGUGGCACAACACCUCAUCCCUCUGUAGCCAACGGAAGGAUGGAAGUACGCAGUCGUUCCAGACAUAGAAUUCCUUACAGGGACAUUUGUACUCCACAGCUUCUUUAGGAUGUUACAAUAUCCAUGUUGGUAUGUCCAUGUUUCUUUAUGCCUCAAGUGUCAGUGCAGCUGAGUAUCUGGAAGAUCUCACUUGCACAUAUAGCUAUGCUUUGUGAACUUCUAAAAGUAGAGAAUGCCUCUUCCUAUACAUUUUGUACUGAACUUGGCCACUGAAACUCCAGAAUUGGAUAGGACAUAUAGGAGCAGCUGUAAUAAAAAUUACAGCACAAAAAGCCCAGCACAGAUACUUGAACAGUCACCAAUACUGGAAUAUGAUUGUUGCUUUCAGCACUAGGAAUCCUCCACCACCAGGAUUUUUCAGCCAGUAAGUACAUUGCAGAUAGGAAGCAGCAUGAAGCCCACAUGAAGAGAUCUACAUAAUUAGUGCUAGCUCAGGUCUCUUACAAGGAAUUCCCAAAAUACAGCUCAGAAGAGAACCAGCCCAAUUAUCUUGCUACUAUGUGUGCUUUGAGGAGAAUAGUAGAAGAUGCAGAUUAUGUUUGGUAGAGUUUAUUCUACUAAGUAUAAUGUUACUAAAAGCUGUAUUGGUCCAGCUCACAACAGAAGUAACAGUUGCCUUCAGCAUCCAAAAGUUGGGCCAAUCAACUGAACAUGGGUGAAAAGAAGCAGCUUGUGUUCCUCACUGUUAUGCUUCAUAAAUUGUUUGAUGUCCCUGUGCCUUUAAUUCAGCUGUAAAAUGAAUUAAUACUGCUCUGUCUAGAACACAUUAGGAUUUGCAAAUGAAAGAACACUGAUAGAUGAUAUUUAUGUUUUAUUUUUCUUAGAAUUGGCAUUGCCAUUAUCAGUACUGAAUGCCUAAAAUAAUCUGUGCAGCAGGCAAAACUACUGUUGUCAACUAAAAGUAGUCUGUCACCGCUGGGCUGGGUGUCAUGCAAAUACAUGUCUCUGUCUAGGAGGAAGCUAGAUCUCUCCCUUUGUGUUUGAA